UACAGAGGUCCCAAGCGUUGUUCGGAUUCACUGGGCGUAAAGGGUGCGUAGGCGGUCGGGUAAGUCUGAUGUGAAAGCUCGAAGCUUAACUUCGAAAUGGCAUUGGAUACUAUUCGGCUUGAGGAAUGGAGGGGAGACUGGAAUGCUCGGUGUAGCAGUGAAAUGCGUAGAUAUCAGGAGGAAUACCGAUGGCGAAGGCAGGUCUCUGGGCUGACACUGACGCUCAUGCACGAAAGCGUGGGGAGCAAACAGG
rnacentral:rRNA from 1 species